ensembl:lncRNA
CAGCUCCUGUAGAACCCCUACUCUGUAAGUUUGCAGAUGGAGGACAGAAGAAGAGGCUGAACCAGAACAAGUACCCCCAAAAUGGACCACCAUGGACCAGAGAUGGAGAGAGUGGCAUGACGUUGACAUAUGACCCCACUGCAAUGCAUAAUGGUGUCCUCCUUAUUCACUCUGUCACAAUGGGCCCAGUCUAAACAGGAAGUGGAUCUCUGUGUCAGUUACACUGCAGCUGUGAGACUUUCAUCUGAUCAGCGUUCUGUUCCCAGGCUGAAUGAGAUGUGCUUGGUUUAAGGGAAAUCAAAUGCCUC